ACGGUACCUGCAGAAGAAGCCCCGGCUAACUACGUGCCAGCAGCCGCGGUAAUACGUAGGGGGCAAGCGUUGUCCGGAUUCAUUGGGCGUAAAGAGCUCGUAGGCGGUUCAGUAAGUCGGGUGUGAAAGCUCCGAGCUCAACUCGGAGAGGCCACCCGAUACUGCUGUGACUUGAGUCCAGUAGAGGAGCGUGGAACUCCUGGUGUAGCGGUGGAAUGCGCAGAUAUCAGGAAGAACACCUGCAGCGAAGGCGGCGCUCUGGGCUGGAACUGACGCUGAGGAGCGAAAGCGUGGGUAGCAAACAGGAUUAGAUACCCUGGUAGUCCACGCCGUAAACGUUGGGCACUAGGUGUGGGGAGCCGUCAACGCUCUCUGUGCCGUAGCUAACGCAUUAAGUGCCCCGCCUGGGGAGUACGGCCGCAAGGCUAAAACUCAAAGGAAUUGACGGGGGCCCGCACAAGCGGCGGAGCAUGUUGCUUAAUUCGAGGCAACGCGAAGAACCUUACCUAGGUUGAACUAUGCAGGAAAAGCCACAGAGAUGUGGUGUCCUUCGGG
rnacentral:rRNA from 1 species